CUGAUGUAUUGUUAUGGAUGAAUGGUUAAACAAUGUAUGUCCACACCAUGGAAUACGAUCUGCUAUGGCUUAAAUGUUUGUGCCUCUCCAAAAUUCAUGUUGAAGCUUAAUCCCCAAUGCAAUCGCUUUAAGAGGUGAAGCCUUUAGGAGGUGAUUAGUCAAGAGGGCUUUGCCCUCAUGAAUAGGAUUAGUGCCUUUAUAAAAGGGAUUGAGGGAGUCUGAUCCUUUUCGGCUUUUGCCCUUCUGUCAUGUGAGGACCCAAGCAUUCAACCCUUCUGCCAUGUGAAAAUACAGCAGUGAGAAGGAGCCAUGUUGGAAGCAGAGAGAAGCCCUUACCAGACCCAAAUCUGCUAGUGCCUUAAUUUUGGACUUCCCAGUCUCGAGAACUUGGUAAACUAUGAAAUGUCAGCGUUCAGCCAGAUGGUAUGAUGGAGCAGCAGAAGUCAGAAUUCAGUGAGGGGACACUGAAGGAACAGAUAAUGCUCCUGCUUUGCCUUGAAGUGUCAUCAAUUUGUAAUUUCAGGGUUAACUGCAGAAGUGUCUGUAAGUACAUUUUAUAUUAAGGACAGACCAAAAA
rnacentral:lncRNA from 10 species